rnacentral:tRNA from 1 species
AGGGUUGUAGCUCAGCGGUAGAGCACUCACCUAGCAUGUGUGAGGUCCUGGGUUCAAUCCUCAGCACCACAU